UACGUAGGGGGCAAGCGUUGUCCGGAAUCAUUGGGCGUAAAGCGCGUGUAGGCGGCUGAGUAAGUCUGCUCUGAAAGCCCGGGGCUCAACCCCGGGAGGCGGGUGGAUACUGCUCAGCUCGAGUCCGGAAGAGGAGUGUGGAAUCCCUGGUGUAGCGGUGAAAUGCGCAGAUAUCAGGAGGAACACCAAUGGCGAAGGCAGCACUCUGGGACGGUACUGACGCUGAGACGCGAAAGCGUGGGGAGCAAACAGG
rnacentral:rRNA from 1 species